rnacentral:rRNA from 1 species
GACAGAGGGUGCAAACGUUGUUCGGAAUUACUGGGCGUAAAGCGCGUGUAGGCGGCCUCGCAAGUCGGGUGUGAAAGCCCUGGGCUCAACCCAGGAAGUGCACUCGAUACUGCAAGGCUUGAGUUCCGGAGAGGAAAGCGGAAUUCUCGGUGUAGAGGUGAAAUUCGUAGAUAUCGAGAGGAACACCGGUGGCGAAGGCGGCUUUCUGGACGGCGACUGACGCUGAGACGCGAAAGCGUGGGGAGCAAAC